rnacentral:lncRNA from 1 species
CGUCAAAAAAAAUUACGUACCAAUAUGUAUAUGAAUACAAUUACUCAUACAUCUAUUAUACAAAAACAAAUGUAAUCUGUAAUUGUUAAAAAAAAUAUUGUUUUUGAGGCUUAACAAUACCAAAUUCACGAAAUCAAAGAUUGCAAUUUGACAAUAAAAGAUUGCAAUUCAUUUCUUUUCGUUUAUGCUCUGUUCAAUUUGAUUUAAUUUUCUUUGUCUUCUCUACUAAUCAAAGUAUAUUUCACGUACGAUUAUCAAAUGAAAUUCAUUUCUCUAUCUGCUUUUUCUCUUCCAACAAUUUUAAUCCACGUGGUUUUGUUGGGUUUCUUCUCUUUCCAACAUAAUUGAAUCAAAACAGUUUGAUUCCAGAACUAUAAACAUAUAGAACUAACUUUUGGCUAAUGUUAUGCCAUAGUUGAAAAAUGGAAAUAGAUGUUAGCACAAGUAAUCAUUAUAUCAAUUCUAAUUAAAUUUAUAUCACUUAAACCCCUUAGUAUUUAUGAAAAUCCUGAAUAUUAGAUUAGGAAUGAAACUCUUAAUCUUAACAGAUAAAAAUAUAUAUCUAAACUAAUUUUUCAAAUAAAGGCUUCCUGACUUACCUUAUAUUCUAGCCAAAUCAAUUUCUCCAAGCUUAAGUUUUCUCGUUGCCUUUUGGAAACACUUCUCUGUUUUUAUGAUUUUUAUUGUUUGAAGUGGAAUUCAAAUAUAAAGACGUCAAAUAUUUCCUGUUCACCUUUUUCCUUUGUUCUCGAUGAGUUUUUUUUAUUUUUUUUGGUCCAUCCAAAAUUAAUAAAGUAAAGAUUAGGGAAGUAAAUGAUUGAAUUAGGCUUAUAAGGUUUGGGUUAAAAAAAUAAACUCAGUUUGUAUUAUCAUAUACAAUAAGAUUGUAUAUCAACUUUAAAAGCAUGAGACUCAAAUUCGAAGCCUCCAUGAAUGGUAAGAUUAGUAAAUACAUAGGAAGAUAGCAAAUUUCGAUCACAAAUAGCAAGAAGAACGCAAGAAGGCAUAUGCAAACUUUCAUAUACAUA